AUGAAUGUGCACUCUGCCAAGAACAAGUUGAGGAAACAUCUCCACAUCUCCUCUGAGGCUGUCAAUUUGCUCUUUCUUGCUGGGAUAUUAUUGCUCCAAACAGACACACAUGAGUUUCUGCUUUUGAUGAUAUCAUCUUUCUCAAACAAUGUUUCCACCCCAGAUUGCCAUGGGCAUUGUUACUAUGGGAUGUUGAAACAUAUGGAUGCAAAGAAAUGGGAAAAUCUUCAAUAA
rnacentral:rRNA from 1 species